UACGUAGGCAGCGAGCGUUGUUCGGAGUUACUGGGCGUAAAGGGUGUGUAGGCGGUUCUCUAAGUUUGGUGUGAAAUCUCCCGGCUCAACCGGGAGGGUGCGCCGAAAACUGGGGGACUCGAGUGCGGGAUGGGAGAGUAGAAUUCCUGGUGUAGCGGUGAAAUGCGUAGAUAUCAGGAGGAACACCGGUGGUGUAAACGGCUUUCUGGACCGUAACUGACGCUGAUGCACGAAAGCGUGGGUAGCAAACAGG
rnacentral:rRNA from 1 species